rnacentral:lncRNA from 1 species
UUUGUUCUUCAAGUCAUCACUUCAAUGUACAUGCUUAAGUGGGCUCCAAAACAUACCUGGAAAUAGCAAAAGAAGGUAGAAUAAUGAGUCAAUGGAAUAGCAACAACAGAACAAAUCCAGCAGAAAAAUAACCCAGGAAUAGCUAUAGGACACUACUUUGAACAAUUUUUCAAAUUCACACAACGUCCCCAAAGCACUAAAUUAGAUUUCUUUAACCAAAUGAUCCCAACACUUUGAUAUCACCUAUAUUUCAGCUCAUUUUAACUAUUAAUUGCCUAAAAAUUUGAUAUAGAGUAGAUUCCGCAAGAAGUUUGGAUAUCACUCAAUGCAACAAUAGUAUUUUCCUAGAGUUCUUUUAAAAAUACUUUCUAAGAAGACUUUUCUUUUGGGUUUACUGCCUUUUUCAAAAACCAACCCCUUUUUUUUGAAGAAAUGGUUGCCUUUAUAGGAAAGGCCAUAGGGCAACUUCAUAUUUAUUUUGCUCCUUUAGGUCCUUGAUUUUAUGACUUGUUAGCCAAGUCACAACUAAAAUUUUGUUAAUAGACCCCUACUGGAAGCUUCUUGUUUGUUAUCAAAGAUUCUCCAAUCCUUAGAUGCCUAAAUUAUCCUCCCAACACCCUAUUUUUACCCUGACCUCCCCGUGCCAAUUGGCCCAGCUAAUUGAGUCAUAAACCCUGAAUUGAAUCCAUAAAUGGGCAUAUUGUAGCCAAGAAAGCAAUCUGGCUCAAACUCUUUUACACAAAAACUCAGGCAACAACCACAAUAAACACAAAACCUGAUGACUCAAACCAACUAAAUCAUAACAACAUUAAUUUGAGACCCAUUACAAUAGGACGCUCAAAUCAAAUAUGCAGAGUUUAAACAAUCUAACCUUAAAAUUACAGAGUUUAUCGCUGAUCCGAACUAAACAUAUAAAUAAAAGCUUGAAAAUGGCAAUACAUAAAUCAGUACUAACCAUUAUACUAACAUGACUCAAUCUUAAUGACUAUUUUAAAUAACAAAACAAAAAUGGGUAAACAAGACAAGGAAGGGAAAGAAGGGGACAGUGAUGGAAAAACAACAAAAGAAAUUAAUGAAAACGGGGAAGGAGUAGGAGCAAAAACAAAGAAAAGAAAUGGAAAGGGAUGUCACACCUCCUUUUGGCUACCACAAUCCGGUGAAGGGCGUAGAUAAGGGAGUUUUUCCAAUUAAAGGACAAUCGAAAUGGGAUUCAAUUAUUUAAGAGAAUUUCAGGGUCGCUGCUUGCGAGAUUUAUGGUGCCCAAGUCACCGUUUAGAAUCCCGAAUUGAGGAAAGAAUGACUCUGUUUAAUAGUCCGCGAACCAGAAAUUUGGGCAAGGAAUUCUGUUAACCCAGGAGAAGGUGUUAGGCAUUCCCGAGUUCCAUGGUUCUAGCACGGUCGCUCAACUGUUAUAUUUGGCUUAAAUUAUCCAAUUUUUUUACAAUUAUGAACCUAUGUGCAUUUUUGAAUCUUUUAACCACCUUUAUUUUUUUUAAAGAGAAUUGCAACGUCGUUAAAACAUGUCUCGAACCAUGUCACAUAGAUGCACCCGUGGUUUUUGACACAUUUCAACUUCGUUGGGAUUUGAAUUUGAGUCACAUAAAUAUACACCCGAGUUUAAGAAAAUUAAUUUAAAUUUAGGCAUCUGAACCAACUACGUAUUUAUUUAUUUUCCUAAUCUAUAAGAUUGUUGUGAAGAUCUAAGAGUUAUAAAAAUUAUUGUAGACGAUCAUUUGGGAAGUAUUCAUUACAAGAAUGGAGAAGAAUAUGUUGGACUCAUAAGUAUUACUUAUCCUGGCUCAGAUCUUUAUAAAUUCAAACUAACCUCACAUGUCAAACCAUUUUUCACUAUGCUCACGCCUAUUUUUAGACUCUGUCAAUAGAUACAAUUCCAGUUCUCCUUAACAAAAUUCAAAUUGCUUUACUUUUAGAGCCAACAGAUCGAUUCUCUACCUCAAAAUGAAAUGGCUAGUAUAUUUACCAGCCACAAAUCCAUUAACAGUGCAUUAGCUAUUUAACACAAUCCAAAAAUCAAGACUUUGAUUCUAGCUACACCCAAAACCUAUUGUUGUCCAAGUUCUAAAAGAAUUAAAUUCACAAUAAAGUAAUUAAAUUAUUCACAUUAAAGAUCCAAUAACAGACCCAAAUAAACACAUGGAAAAGGUCAGAUGGCAAACGAAAAUUUAAACAAGAGAACACUAAGGAAUUCAAAUAGCAAAGGUAAGAAUAAACCUUAAUAUUCAGUAAAUAAAAUUCUUCAGCAGAUGAAAACACGAAGCUUCCGACAUCAACAAAAUAUAUGAAUUCCAUAGAUUACAACUCCAAUAAAUAGCUCCAACAAGAUCUGCGACAUGAACACUCGAAAGACGACCUCGACUCUCUUUGUGGUGAUUUAAGAUCUGAUUGGAGUUGGUUCUUGGACUGGUUUACAGCUGAGCUUAAGCUCUGUUUCGCCUGUUUCCAUGGAGUUUCAAGGCUAUUUUGUGGCUAAUUUAAGAUCUGAUUGGAGUUGGUUCUUGGUCUGAUUUACAGCUAAGCUGGAGCUUUGUUUCGCCUGUUUCCAUGGAGUUUCAAGGCUAUUUUAUGGCUUAUUUUGCUUGGUUUUAGGUUGGAAAAGAGAGCUGGUUUUGAAUGAUUUUGGUCGAAUUAGAGGGUUGUUUUUUGUUGCCUUUUGGGGCUGUUCCGGGAAUGGUUUUUGAGCUAUUUUUGUAGUAGCUUCAAGCUACAUCUUUGGGAGAAGACAAGGUAGUUUAUGGGGUGAAGUUUGGAGUGUUCAAUCGAGCUUUUUGUUUGUGCUUCAAUGAGCUCCCGUGGUGAAAAACAGGAAGAAGAAAAACUGUCAAGAUGGUGAAGUAAACCAAAAGCCGCGCAGCUUUCUUCAGGCCUCCAUUUUGUGUGUAUAGGCAUGUGUAUAUCUCUUGUGUAUCUAUCUGUAUAUGUAUGUUACGGUUUUUAGGUGGGGAAAUGGGUUUGGGUAUUGAGUUGGGUCGGGUCGAUCAGAUUUCAUGUUUACAAAAUUUUGUUGAAAAAUACAAAUAAUGUUUAUGAAACUUUUAUUACAUCAAUGAAUUUCAUUUAAAUACAGAAUUCUAAGAUUUGAACAAGUUGGCAGGUUCCCUAUUCCAUUGUUUCUCAAAACUCAGAACUUCAGCAACACCUUAAGCACUAAAUUCAGCAGUAUUAGACACAAAAAUUUUCAUCUCAAAAUGACCCCUUUAACAGUAGAAACAAAGCAUUGGAAUCACAGCAAUAUUAAGUCAGAAUAACCACAAAGUAAAGUUAAAUAGUGCAGGAUCUGCUUAAAAAAAUUGCUCAAAACUUGCAAGUCAAUAAUGUAUUGUUGGCAUAUAAACUGAAGAAAAGCAGUUGAGCUAACCGAAGCUGAAACUUUUGCAAAAUUCCCUCAACUAUUAAGAAAAACAAUAGUAACAACAAUCAAUUAAAGAAAUGUGUAAAUCUUCAUUGUUGAGCGAAAAACGGACAAUGUAGGACUGUGAACAAAAAGUAUGAAAUCAUAUAGAGUAACAUAAAACAAGCAGAAAAUUAUUUUCCAGCAAACCUGCAACUUAACCAACUAGACAAUAGUUUAUGUAAGAAAAGCACUUAAUUCAGCCAGGAGAACAUUCUAGAAGUAAAAACUAGAUUUCAAGCUAUCACUGCUAAACUCGAGCACAAUCUCAACGAACACAAAUUUCGGCAGAUUAAGCUUACCGUAUGCUCAACCAAAUCACAAUUCAAGCUGCUCAAUCUCUAGUCUAACUGAAUCCCCUCUAUUAAACUCAAUGACAACAACAACUAUUAGAAACCAAUGGUAACAAGGUUUAAGUUAGGAGAAAUUCAGCUAUCAAUUUACUCCAGAAACUUUUCCAUAAAUAGUGAAAAAGUUUCAACAAACAAGCUUCAGAACUUUGCAAUCAUAGCACAAAGAUAACUAGUGUACAAUGCAUGAUUUACUUUCAAACAUGGCCCCACCAAUGAUUCAUAGAUUGAAUUAAAAUCACAAAAUAAUGCUCCAACAAAUUAAGACUAAUCUCAUCAGAAAUUUCAUCAGCAUAAAAGAAGUUUGACAAGGGAAUUCCAACUUGAACUCUAAGAAUUUCCAUAGUAGAGUCCAUUGAUACAACUCAAUUCACACAAUUUUCAAACAAACAACUUCUGAAUUCUAAAACUAACCUAUGUGGCUAAAAGUGGCUAGAAGUGCAAAAUUUGGCUAUGACCCUGCAAAGCCAAGAACCUAAGAUUUACUAGGAAGACCGGAUUCGAUGUGGGUUGCCUACAUAUCACGCCCCGAAAGACGAGAAUCAGGUUUGCGUAGUUCGGGAAAAUUGGAUACGGGCAAGAAAUAAAAAAACAGCUAAUUUUUGAAGAAAACAUUUUCUUUUGUCUCUUUUUUUUUUAAAAAAUGAUAAAUAUGUAAACUCUUUUGGAUUUUUUUUCUUUUUAUUCGAUUUUCAGGAAAUGAUGAAAAAUAGUAAAAUACUUUUUUCAAUUUUUCACAUAUCUUUUAUCUCUUAUUUUAAUAAAAACAUAACAAACAUAACUUGACCCUACUUGCUUUAUUUUCACACUUCACCCUCUUUUCUUUUUAUUAUUUUUCUUUUUUUCUCAUUUUUUUUUACUCUCAGCUAUCAUUGGUCCGCCAAAUGACCCUUUCACUCUUGAAAAAAUGCAACAUGUUGUAUAUAAAAUGCAUCAGGAUGGUCUUUUUAAUUGGGUGCACAUGUCCUAGACAGGCCCUAUCAUGUGUUGAGUCCCCUAAGUUAAAUACAUUAUGCAAAUAAGUGACUCCCCAUGAUUCUGAUGCAGAGUAUGUUCCUAUCCACUAAGUAAGUAAAUAACUAUCAAGAACAGAAAUAAUCUUUUACUUUGGUUAAAGGCCCUUUUACUGAGAAAGGAGAAUAGGAAUGAAAUAAAAUAGAAAUAAAAAGAAAAGAAUCUAAUUGCAAAAGAAAAAAGGGGGGAUGUCUUUUUUUUUCUUACUUUUUUCUUUUUUUGUUUUUAUUCUUUCUUUCCUAUAAUUCCAAAAAGCAAAAGGAGGGGAUGUCUUCUUUUUUUCUUACUUUUUUCUUUUUUUGUUAUUAAUCUUUCUUUCCUAUAAUUCCAUUUUGAUUUCUAGUUCGAGAGAGAAAUUUUUUGUCAUGAUUCAUGAACUAAUGGACUUUCUAAUUUUUUUCUUAAUUAAAAAUUCGAGGUUAAAAUGUAUAUGUGAUAUUGCUAUAAAGUGCAUUUUAUUUUACUAGGGAUCAGGCAUGAGGUCAAGUUAUUCUAAGUUCAAAAACCUAAGUAUGUGUUCCAGACAGUGUACCCGAGCGGACAACUCGAGUCGAGGAGGGGGCUACGUACCGGAAACCAAAAGGUCAUCUGACUUAGCAACUUGUCCUGCCUCUUUCAUAUUUCAGGGUAUGACACUAACAGAAUAGGGAGUCUCAACUAAUAAGCACAUCCCCGGAGGUGAGGAGAGAAAGAUUUCGUAGCAGUUUAUAUGUACAGUUCAGAUAAUAUCAAAGCGGUAAAAGCAUCAUUUUGCACACUAAGCCAACAUGUAAAGAUUAGAUAAUAAACAAAGCCAAAUACAACAAUUAUUUUAAGCUCGAGUUCUUGAACCCUGAACCAGAUAUUCUUGGUUCGAUCCUCAGCAGAGUCGCCAGAGCUGUCACACCUCCUUUUGGCUACCACAACCCGGUGAAAGGAGUAGAUAAGAGAGUUCUUCCAAUUAAAGGACAAUCAAUACGUGAUUCAAUUAUAUAAGAGAAUUUCAGAGUCCCCACUUGGGAGAUUUAUCGUGUCCCAAGUCAUCGUUUAGAAUCCCGAAUCGAGAAAAGAAUGACUCUGUUUAACAGUCCGCGAAUAAGAAAUUCGGGCAAGGAAUUCUGUUAACCCGGAAGAAGGUGUUAGCAUUCCCGAGUUCCGUGGUUCUAGCACGGUCGAUCAACCGUUAUAUUUGGCUUAAAUUAUCUAAAAAAAUUUUACAAUUAUGAACCUACGUGCAUUUUUUAAUCUUUUAACCACCUUUAUUAUUUUUCUUAAAGAGAAUUGCAACGUCGUUAAAACAUAUAUUGAACCACGUCACAUAUAUGCACCCGUGGUUUUUGACACAUUUCAACUUUGCUGGGAUUUGAAUUUAAGUCACAUAAAUGUGCACCCGAAUUUAAAAAAUUUAAUUUAAGUACGCGUCUGAAGCAACUAGGUCUUUAUUUAUUUUCCAAAUCUUUAAGAUUGUUGUAAAGAUCUAAGAGUUAUUAAAACUAUUGUAGACAGAAAUAUGAUUCGAUCCUUUGGGAAGAAUUCAUCACAAGAAUGGAGAAGAAUAUGUUGGACUCAUAGGUGUUACUUAUCCUGGCUCAGAUCUUUAUAAAUUCAAACUAACCUCACAUGCCAAACCAUUUUUUACUAUGCUCACGCCUAUUUUUAUACUCUAUCAGUAGAUACAAUUCCAGUUCUCCUUAACUAAAUUCAAAUUGCUUUAAUUUUAGACCCCACAGAUUCUAGCUACACCCAAAACCAAUUGUUGUCCAACUUUUAAAAGAAUUAAAUUCACAACAAAGUAUUUAAAAUAUUCACAUUAAAGAUCCAAUAACAGACCAAAAUAAACACAUGGAAAAGGUCAGAUGGCAAACGAAAAUUUAAACAAGAGAACACUAAGGAAUUCAAAUAGCAAAGGUAAGAAUAAACCUUAAUAUUCAGUAAAUAAAAUUCUUCAGCAGAUGAAAACACGAAGCUUCCGACAUCAACAAAAUAUAUGAAUUCCAAAGAUUACAACUCCAAUAAAUAGCUCCAACAAGAUCUGCGACAUGAACACUCGAAAGACGACCUCUUCAGUAGAUGAAAACACGAAGCUUCCGACAUCAACAAAAUAUAUGAAUUCCAAAGGUUACAACUCCAAUAAAUAGCUCCAACAAGAUCUGCGACAUGAACACUCGAAAGACGACCUCGACUCUCUUUGUGGUGAUUUAAGAUCUGAUUGGAGUUGGUUCUUGGACUGGUUUACAGCUGAGCUUAAGCUCUGUUUCGCCUGUUUCCAUGGAGUUUCAAGGCUAUUUUAUGGCUUAUUUUGCUGGGUUUUAGGUUGGAAAAUAGAGCUGGUUUUGAAUGAUUUUGGUCGAAUUAGAGGGUUGUUUUUGGUUGCGUUUUGGGGGUGUUCCAGGAAUGAUUUUUGAGUUGAUUUUGCAGUCGCUUCAAGCUAUAUCAUUGGGAGAAGACAAGGUGGUUUAUGGGGUUAAGUUUGGAGUGUUUAAUGCAGCUUUUUAUUUGUGUUUCAAUGAGCUCCCAUGGUGAAAAGGCUGCGUUUUGGGGUUGUUACAGGAAUGAUUUUUGAGUUGUUUUUGCAGUAGCUUCAAGCUAUAUCUCUGGGAGAAGACAAGGUGGUUUAUGGGGUGAAGUUUGGAUUGUUUAAUGGAGCUUUUUAUUUGUGUUUCAAUGAGCUCCCAUGGUGAAAACGGGAAGAAGAAAAACUGUCGAGAUGGUGAAGAAAACCAAUAGCUGCGUAGCUUCUUCAAGCCUCCCUUUUGUGUGUAUAGGCGUGUGUUUAUCUCUUGUGUAUCUAUCCGUAUAUGUGUGUUAGGGUUUGUAGGUGGGGAAUGGGUUUGGGUAUUGGGUUGGGUCGGGUCGAUCCGGUUUGGGUUUGGGUAGGGGCUAAUUUGGGUAGGGUUUAAAAGAGAAAUUGUAUUGGACUUGAAUUUUAAUAGAAGUUUGGCCCAAAAAUAUGAUUCAACUAUUUUAUUUUCAUAUUUUUCUAAUUUCUUUUAAACUAAUACUAAAAAUAACAUCUAAAUUAAUUCCUAGUCAAAUUAUUUUCAAAAUAAACUAAUUACUAUAACUAAUAUUUAUUGCAACUAAUUAAAAUCUGUUAUAAACUAAAGCAAAAGACAAGAACAAUAGAGCAAGAACAAUAGCAAUAGAGAUGCAACUAAUUAAAACCAAAUUAAACAAAAAACUACCGAAAUUCAACGUCUAAAAUUAAAAGUGCAAAAUUAACUAUUUUUUAUGAUUCUUCUCCCUUUUUAACACAAUUAAUUCAAUGUAAUUAAUUCCUAAAUACAAAUUAAACCUAAGGUGGCAUAAAAUUAAAAUGUGCUUUUAUAGUUUUCUAUGAUUUUUUAAAAAAAAUAUUUAAAAUGCAUGAAUUGCAACUAAAUAAAGAAAAACACCUAAAAAUCAAUUAAAAUUAUUUUGGUCUAUUUUUAGGAGUUAUUUUCAUGUAGGGCAAAAAUCACGUGCUCAUAGUUGCUCCUCGUUGCACGGAAACACGAAGAGUUUUCGUGCAAAGAUAAGUGAGCAAACACGAGCUGUUUUUGCCCCUUUGAAUACUCCGUGAGAAGAAUUUUGAAAAGAUUUGACAGCACCAUGCUUCUGAGGUUGCCUACAUAUCCUUGGUUAUAAAGGAAUAUGGUCAUUGUAGUUCAGGAGUGAGUGAGAUAAAGGAGUACGCUGAGGUGAAGAUCUGAUCGAGGUGCCGUUCUGCCGAGGUUCCGGUCUACGGUCUAUUAUUACAUCAAAAUCAAAAGAAUGAAAAAGACUAGCUAAACCUGUCAACUACGAGUUACAAAAUUCCUUUCAAUAAGUCUUCUGAAGUUUGAUCUUGAGUCUUGAGUGGUUCUUCAUUACGACUUUAGAUUUCAACCUUGACGCUUGUUAUGUGCAGGUAUUAGCUCGUUUUUCUUCAGUUUUUCUUAAUUAAGACCGGACGUAUAGCGCUUGAGACCUCAACCAUGCCUUGAGAAAUCCACAUCUCUCAUCUAGUUUUAUUUGAAUUAACUUCCUACUUGCCUUCCUUUUUGUUCUUCUUCUUGUUUCUUUAUUGCGACUAACUUUUGUUGAUUACCUUGGACUGUUGACUUGCAUUCUUGCCGCGAGCUUCUUUUGUUGCUGACUUGACUUGUAAUCUGAGAUGUUUUCCCUUUCUCCAUGUGGAUGCCUGAUUGCUGAACUGAAAUUGUGCUCCCUUGUUCUCCGGUGGGCGCGUGAUUACCAAAGCUUGAAUGAGACAUAAAUGUAUUCCCUUGUUCUACAGGUGGGCUCCUGAUUACCAACUCUGAAAUUUGAGAAAUCUUCCCUUGUUCUCUAGGUGAGCGCCUGAUUACUGAAACUUGAAGCUUGAAAAUUAUUCCCUUGGUCUACAGGCGGGCACCUGAUUACUGAAACUUGAAGCUUGAAAAAUAUUCCCUUGUUCUGCAUGUGAGUGUCUGAUUACCCAGACUUGAAUUCUGAAAAAUAUUCCCUUAUUCUACAGGUGCGAUCCUGAUUACCAAGACUUGAACUUUGAAAAAUAUUCCCUUGUUAUACAGGUGGGCGCCUGAUUGCCAAAACUUAAAAUUUUGAAAAAUAUUCCCUCGUUCUACAGGUGGGCGCAUGAUUACCAAAACUUGAAUUUUGAAAAAUAUUACUACAAGUAGGUGCCUGACUGCCAAAACUUAAAAUUUUGAAAAAUAUUUCCUUGUUCUACAGGUUGGCACCUGAUUGCCAAAACUUAAAAUUUUAAAAAAUAUUCCCUAGUUCUAUAGGUGGGCGCCUGAUUACCAAAACUUGAAAUUUGAAAAAUAUUCCCUUGUUCUACAGGUGGGCACCUGGCUGCCAAAACUUAAAAUUUUGAAAAAUAUUCCCUUGUUCUACAGGUGAGCGCCUCAUUACUAAAACUUGAAUUUUGAAAAAAACUAUUCCUUUGUUCUAUUGGUGGGCGCUUGAUUACCAAUACUUGAAACUUUGAAUAUAUUCCCUUGUUCUCCAGGUGGGCUCCUGAUUACCAAGACAUAAAUUUUGAAAAAUAUUUCCUUGUUUUAUAGGUGGGCGCCUGAUUACCAAAAUAUUCAAUUUUUGAAAAAUAUUCCCUUGUUCUACAGGUGGGCGCUGGAUUGCCAAUUUUUUGCCCCUGUGUCAAUCAAAGAAAACUAUUCAGAUUAAAAAGUGGUGGUUAGUUUACGACAUUCUUGUUGGAAGCGGCCUCCUCAGUGUCAUGUUCCGUUGUGUUCAAAUUUCCAUGUUGAUGAUGAGUUGCCAGAGUUGGUUGGCUGACCCCCGAACCUUUAUGGCUUUACUUUGCUCCCCAUUAUUGUGUUACAUUUCUAGCCUUUUUGCCAGAAUCCUUGCACCUUUCUCGAUAUUACCAAGUCAAUGUAUUAUGCUUGGUUGAUCCUUUGACCCUUGUAGCUUUACUCUAUUCCCCCAUCCUUGUGUUGCACUUUUGGUGCUUUUGCUAGAACUCUUACAUCAUCUCGUAAGGUUUUCGAGUCAACGUAUUAUGCUUGGUUAGCCCUUGUGACCUUUCCCAUCUUUGUGUUGCGCUUAUGACUCUUUCGCCAGAAACCUUGCAUCCUUUCUAAGAUUACUCGGUCAGUGUAUUAUGCACUGCUGACCUUGGAGCCUUAUGGUUUUACUCUGCUUCCCAUCUUUGUGUUGCAUUUCUGACCCUUUGCCAGAACUCUUACAUUUUUCCUAAGAUUAUUGAGUCAGUUUACUAUGCUUGGCUAACCUUUGUGGCCUUUCCCAUCUUUGGUUUGCGCUCCUUCACUUGCCACAAUAACUUUGAUUUCAGCUUAAAAUACAUUGCUUGCUUAUUGGCUAACCAAUUUCUCUAUCACCCUUCUCGCAGAAAAUACCCUUUAUCCAUUCGAACCUCAUAUCCUCUAUUCGUUGCAUUGCUUAUGAAUUGACAUCUUCCCGUCCUUUGUGUUUCACAUGACCCCAAAAGCACGUCCAUCGCCCCCACUUCGUGUGUAUACUGUUUUCAUUGACAUAAACCACUGGCCUUGACCUUGAGGUCUGUUGCUCCUUCACUUGUCAUGAUGAUUAAUUUCAUUUGAAGCCCCUGUUUGUCCCUUGACUAACCGCUUCCUUUGUAAACCUUAACCCACAAAACUUCUCCUUCAAACCCAAUACCUUCCAUCUUAUUGGUGAAGAUUUUCACCAAUAAGACUCUCAUUUUUAUUAUCUUUCAUGCCUGGACUGGAGUGUUUCCCCUGACAUGAAUCACCUCUACUUGCUCAAUUUGGCAUGCUGCAUUGUUCCAAAAUCGCUCCUACCAAACCCUUGUGUUUCACCUGAUCCCCAAAGCAUAUUUACCAACCACAUUGUAUAUGAUGUUUUUUCCGGACCCAAAUUACUGGCUCUAACCUUGAGGUCUACUGCUCCAUCGCUAGCCAUGAUAACUUCGAUUUCUUCUUGGAAGAUCUUUCUUGUCACUAGUUUACCACCCUUCCUGUCACAGAAAACACCUUUGAUACAUUCACCCUAGCCCUCAUUCUACUGUAUUGUCCAUGAUUUGAUAUAUACCGAGCCUUUGUAUUUCAAACGAAUCCCAAAGCAUGCUAAUUGUUACCAGCUCAGUGUGUAUGUUGUUCUUUCCUGACAUAUGCUGCUUUGAUGUGACAAACAGGUCCCCUUUUAUGCAAUUGGAAAGCUGGUGGCAGAUUUUGAAGUCAUUUCUCACUUGUUUUGACCCGGCAGACUCAAGAGGAGGAAUAAACAAGACAAAAGAAACAGAGUAGAGGACAAGAAAAGGAGAUAAUUCCUGACAAAAAACCUAAAAAGUAGAAACCUAUAAAAUGCGGGUACCAACUCUAAUGACCCUGACAUGCACAUGCGGCCUAUUCUGUUAAGCAAAUCUGACGUUCAACUCUUGUUAUACUCCCCCAGACCGUGAAGCUGGGCUUCAAUGCUCCGAUUAUCCAAUCUGAUUCACAAUCCUUAUUCGACUUGUAGCGCUCAAAGGGUUUUCACCAUCAAGCCUCUCUUAUUUUGUUCUUUUCUCUCCAGUUACAGUAGCCUCAAGGUGCCCGUGAGGGUUUUCACCAAUAAGACUCUCUCAUUUCUUUUAACUUCCGACGCUUUACGGUGCUCGUGAGGAUUUUCACCAAUAAGACUCUCAUUUUUAUUAUCUUUCAUGCCUGGACUGGAGUGUUUCCCCUGACAUGAAUCACCAUUACUUGCUCAAUUUGGCAUCUCUUGAAGACUGAUCAGAAGGUCUUCCUUUGGAUCGUAAUAUGGCUUUUGGAUAGGGUUAGAAAGAAAGGGUAUCAAAGGCACAAAAUAAUUCAAAUGGGAUUAAAAUUACAAUUUUCGAAAUCAAAUUCUUACAACAACCACAACUUCUGCCCCAGUUUCUUGCUUGGGGACUUUAGGAUUUUUAUUUUGAUGAGACCGAACUGUGGGGCUGCCUACGUAUCCUUUUAAAAGGAAUCAGGUAAAACGUAGUUCGUACCGAUUUCUUAUUUUUGUUGUUUUUUUUCUUCUCCUUUUUUUCUUUUUGUUUUUCUUUUCUUCCUUUUCUUCUCUUUGUUUUUUUUCUUUCUCUUUUCUUUUUCCUUUCCUUCUUUCUCUUCUCUUUUCUUUUCUUGUUUUUCUUUUCUUUGUCUUUUCUUUUGUUUUCAUUCUAUUCAUUCUUUCCAUUCUUUUCCUUUCACUACCGCCUCAUACUUGCGUUUCUGACUUUUGUUACUGAUUUCGAAAGAGGGGUAUGAAAGAAAAUAAUUAAAGCUCAAAAAGGGUUAGCAAAGAUAAAGUAUUUAGAUAGCCGAAUAAAAUGCCUUCGCCAUUUCAAUCUCUAAAACAUGCAAAGUAUAGACAAUGAUUUGAAUCAAAGAAAAUCAUACAUAGUAUAUGUGAGCAUGUGAUUUUUUCCCUAUAUGAAUUACUCUCAUAAAUUCAAACAAAAUCAUUUCUUUUAUCUAUUUGCAAUUUUGUGAGUUUUCAGAUAUUUUCUGGUUGUUGCUUGCAUUUGUUUGUGCAUUUAAUUAAUAAAAGUUUAGUAAACUUGCUUUUAGGAUUUCUUCAUGUUCUAUCUAUCCGUAUUUCACGUGAUUCGGGCUUCAAAAUAUCUCAAAUGGUCCAAAUUGUUCUUAUUUCCCUCAAGUGUCUCUAUUGCCUUAUGAGUAAUCUUUUAAGACCAUGCAUGGGGUUAUGCAUACAUGUCAUGUCAUUAAAGCAAUUAGGGAAAAGAAUUGUAAAAAGAAAAGAAAAAUAAACCAAAUGGCUAGAAAUAACGGAAAGUAGAAAAUUGCAUUAGACAGAUAGUGAAAGAACUUGGACAACAAAACAAGUAAAAAGACUAGGGUUAAAACCCUGGAAUGAACCUAGACGACACUAAACAAAACUAUGGAAAAUGAAAGGAUAGAAGGGUUUGAAUCAAAAGACAAUAACCAGAUUACAACCCGGAACGAACCUAGACGACACUAAACAGAACUAGGAACAAUAAAAUGAUAGAAGGGUUUAAAUCACAAGAAAAUAUCCGGAUUACAACCCUGAAAAUAACCUAGACAACAUAAAUGACCACAAAAUAAACCACCAAAAACUCCUCUCUGGCUGACCAAGAAAUGGAGCGUCCUCCCAAUUACCCAUCACGACAUAUUAGCCACUGGAUUCCACAUCAAUAACACUAGGCACUUCACAAGCCUUCGUCACAAUGUUCUAAAAAGAUUGCUUUUGGGUUCCUUUCGCCGACUCGUUCUGGAGAUUAACCUCUGAUAAUGUUGAAAGCUUAGCAGCACUCGAAGAUUGCUUUUGGGUUCCUUUCGCCAACUCGUUCUGGAGAUUAACUUCUGAUAAUGCUGAAAGCUUAGAUAAUGCUGAAAGCUUAGAUAAUGCUGAAAGCUUAGCAGCACUCGUGCUUAUGAGGCUCCCUGAAGAAUUCUCACAUUCCAUCAUGUGCAUCUCAUUAUGCAACGAUGGACUUUGGCUAGUGUCUGCUGCAUUCGAAUUUCGCACGAUAAUGUCACAUGCAUCAAUAAGCUUCUAAAUUACUUUCCUUAGACUCCAACACUUCUCUAUGUCAUGCCCCAGGGAAUCUGAGCAAUAUGUGCACCUUUGAGAAGCAUCAAACUUCUUUGACAAAGGGUUUGACAUCUUUAUCUGAAUCGACUUUAAUAUGUCCAAUUGCUUCAACCUUUGAAACAAACUGGCAUAUGAUACUUCGAUAGGGGUGAAAGUCUUUUCUUUUUUCAGUAGUCUGACCUUUGAAAUAAACUGGCAUAUGAUACUCCGAUAGGGGUGAAAGCCUUUUCUUUUUUCAGUAGUCUCUCAUUAUUACAUGCUUGCUUGGGCUGGAAACCUGAUCCAAUAGGUUUUCGAUAUGCUCGUGGAGGUGUAUAGGUAUUCCGUGGAGCUGGGUACGGGGAAAGUGAUGUACGAUUAUAUGAGUUCUGUGUAUAGAAGAAGUGCUAGGGAGGAUCAUCUGGUACGCAAGGAUAUCCACGAGGAUGAUGUCAAGGCUGGAAAUGUUGAUCAUCUUUUCUAUUUCUCUUUCUUCCGCCGAAGCUUACUCGGAUGUUCUGAAUGUCUUUCGAACCACUCAUGAUUUUUCCUGACUUGAUUCCUUCUUCUACUUGCUCCCCCAUUUUUAACACAUCAUUGAAAUGUUUUCCCAAAGCCAGCUCAACCAUUUCUUUUUCACCAAUCGGGGUACUGACUCGAGAAGCUUGCUCCCUCCAUUUGAGCCAAAACUCCAUAAAGCUUUCCUCCAGCUUCUUUUUCAUUUUAGAUAGGGAAAAGCGAUCUGGGGUAAUACUUGACUUGUAUUGAAAGUAUCGAACAAAAUCUUGAGCCAUCCAUUUACCGAUAUCCUGACGAGUAUACCAGUCUAAAGCUGCCCCAGUCAGGCGCUUGCUGAAAUAUGCUAUCAAUGGGUCAUCUUUCUCUCCAACGCCUCUCAUUUCACUGCAAUAGACCCUCUGGUGGGCUAUCGGAUCCCCACACCCAUCGUACAAGUUAAAUUUUGGCACUUUGAACCCUGCAGGUAGGCGAACGUCAGGGGAUACAAAUAGUUCUUCGCAAGCCAUAUUUCCCUGGUCUCGCAUUCCUUGCUUGUUCUUCAAGGACUGUCUUAUGCCUGCCAGCCUCCAAGGUAUUCCAUCCCGCCUCUCUCUCUUCAUGUGAACCUUUCACCUGCUACAUGAGGCUCGUCCUGCGGACCCUGCUUGUGAGAGUUGGAAACCUUGUGGGUAACCUUUGAGGGGUAGUAUUGGAUAUCAUGAGUUUCGAGUAGGUAUUCAUUGUUGGGGAGAAUGGAUGUGACAAAAGGGCACUUUUGGGAAAAAAUAGUUGGAGGAUGAGUGUCGGAGCUAUUAUGGUGGUUGGGAAAACUAUAAUAAGCAGGGUCAUCUGGAGAGUAUGGAGGAUCAUUCGGAACCAUGAUCGGAGUUUGGAGAAGGGUAGCAUCUAGGGAGCUAGGUGGUGGCGGUGGUGGUGCUUUCCUAGUCAUCCAAGCCUGAUACAUUUCUAUCAUGUGUUGUCUCAGCAUUUUUAUCUCUUCAAUUAACCCAUUGUCUUGGUCAACCAACUACAUUUGGGCAUCGGUAUCAACCAACCCAGUUCUAUCGUUGUCUGCCAUUGCCUUUAACUUUGUGUUGUAGAGGAGAGUUGCUACUUUAAAAACCACAAACCAACCACCCUUCUGCUAUGAGUAUAACAAAAUGAAGCCAUCAUGUUAGCGUUAGGGCAUUAAACAACUAAUAUAUCAUAUUUUGUGCAGUGCACCUAGUCACAGUUACCGGUUAUAACAUGACUUCGAGGGUAUGAAGGUCAUAUGACAUCAUCCCAAUUUGUUCAUUUCAACCUCCCUCUUUCUUUUCUUUUCUGGAACUUACUUGAUCAAUUUUGUUCCUCUUUUUCUAUUUAUCAAUCUUUCUUUCCUCGAAUUUUCAUGUCCCAUAAUUACACCCCUUUUUUCAUUUUUUUUCCUUUUUUCGUUUUUUCUUCUUUUUUUUUUCUUUUUUCCUUUUAAUAAAUAAAAAAAUAAUUCGAUCGAACCCUAUGUAGGUAGCCUACAUAUCAUGACCACGCAUGAAUCAGAUCUUUCCGUAGUUCUGAAAAAUCGAGAAUGGAGAAAAUAAAAUAAUUCAUAUUUUGUUUAUUUUUAUACAACUCAAACCAUGAAAGCUCUAAGAAACAAAAAAACAUUUUAAGUUUAAAAAAAAUAAACCUGAAACCAUUUCAAUACCACCAAAAUCAUCGGAUACUAAGCAACAAAGAUACAAAUCCAACAUUAUUUAACUCUUGACCCUUUUUUAAAGAUAAGCUACUAGCUGACGGCAAAAUCAUUUACAAAAGAUUGUCACAUAUGCAAAAACUAGUCAAUUUUGCAAUUCUGGACAGCCUCACAAUAACUGACAAAGUUGCAGCCUAAUGGUAAUCUCUCGGGCCAUCUUCUUGAACAAUUGAAGCAAUGAUAAUUCAACCAAACAACUUUGCAGCCUCUACACUUCAAGCGAUUUCCGUUAACAUUUGCAAACCUCAACAAAUCACCCCAAAAGUAGUAAUCCCAAAAAAAAACUUUUUCUUUUCAUUCUUCACUUUCUGCUUUCUCUUCCUCUUUUUCAUUAUUUUUUAAUUUAUUUUAAGGACAAUCCAAAGUAACAAAAACUAAGAUUAAAUACUACUAAAUUAAAAUAGAAAAAAUCAGACAGAAAAACAUAGUAACUAUAUUUAAAAAAUAACUACUACUAUUACUAAGUAUUUCCUAAAGACUACAACUAACAAACAUCAAUAUACUAGAUAAAACUAUGUUUUGGAAACUCUACUUUCUUCAUACAUGAAAAUAAAAUUAAUACUCCAAAAAAUGUAACUCUUUUUGUAUUUUUUUUAGAUUUUGUUAAAUAAAUCAACUACGAAGUGAAAUAAAGACUAAAAUAUCGAGAUUAAACUUAAUAAAUACUUUUAGAUUUUGUUAAAUAAAUAAACUACAAAGUGAAAUAAAGACUAAAAUAUCGAGAUUAAACUUAAUAAAUAUAAUUACAUGCUAAAAAGUGAGUGAAAAUCCAAAUAAUACGGUUGUAGCUUGACUGCUAAUUGAAUCUCAGCAACUGUGCAUGAUCAAACUCAAAAUGUAAUUAAAACUUAGAACUAAGAAGAAAAUUGUGCUACAGAUAACUCUACAGAUUUACAUUUAUAACCUACUGGACCAACUAACACCAAACUAAACUAGCAGCAACAAACAAAGUAACUUGAAACAAUAUUUUUCAGCUUGUCCCUGACCAACUAACACCAAACUAAACUAGCAGCAACAAACAAAGUAACUUUAAGCAAUAUUUUUCAGCUUGUCCCUAUUAACUAAAUGACCAAAAUAUUUGUAAUCAACUGAAUUUAACUGUGCAGAAAAAUCAUCUCUCACUCACUAGACAACUGGUGCAAAAACUGUAAAUUUUGAAGGUUGUUCCAACAACUUUCAAUAACAGUCCAAAACACUCUUAUUUAAGUUCAAAAUUCUUCAAAAUGUUGUAUUUUUCUACAACAUGUUGUAGAAAAAUAUAAAUAAUGUUUAGGAAACUUGUAUUACAUCAACGGAUUUCAUUUAAAUACAGGAUUCUAUGAUUUGAACAAGCUGGCAGGUUCGAUAUUCCAUUGCUUCUCAAAACUCAGAACUUCAGCAACACCUUGAGCACUAAAUUCAGCAGUAGUAGGCAUAGAAAUUUUCAUCUCAAAAUGACGCCCUUAACAGUAGAAUCAAAGCAUUGGAAUCACAGCAAUAUUGAGUUAGAAUAACCACAACGCAUAGCUGAAUAGUGCAGGAUCUGCUUUAACAAAAAUAGCUCAAAACUUGCAAUUCAGUAGUGUAUUGUUGGCAUAUAAACUGAAGAAAAGCAGUUGAGCUAAUCGAAGCUAAAACUUUUGCAAAAUUCCCUCAACUAUUAAGAAAAACAAUAGUAACAACAAUCAAUUAAAGAAAUGUGAAAAUCUUCAUUGUUGAGCGAAAAAUGAACAACGUAGGGCUGUGAACAGCAAGUAUGAAAUCCUUUACAGCAACAUAAUACAAGCAGCAAAUUUUUUUCCAGGAAACCUGCAACUUAACCAACUAGACAAUAGUUUAUGUAACAAAAGCACUUAAUUCAACCAGAAGAACAUUUUAGAAGUAAAAACUAGAUUUCAAGCUAUCACAGCUAAACUCGAGCACAGUCUCAACGAACACAAUUUCGGCAGAUUAAGCUUACCGUAUGCUCAACCAAAUCACAAUGCAAACUGCUCAAUCUCUAGUUCAACUGAAUCCCCUCUAUUAAACUGAAUGACAACAACAACUAUUAGAAACCAAUGGUAACAAGGUUCAAGUUAGGAGAAAUUCUGCUAUCAAUUUACUCCAGAAACUUUUCCAUAAACAGUGGAAAAUUUUUAACAAAUAAGCUUCAGAGGUUUGCAGUUAUUGCACAAAGAUAACCGUGUACAAUGCAUGAUUUUCUUUCAAACAUGGCCCCCACCAACGAUUCAUAGAAUGAAUUAAAAUCACAAAACAAUGCUCCAACAAAUUAAGACUGAUCUCAACAGAAAUUUCGUCAGCAUGAAAGAACUUUGACAAGAGAAUUCCAACUUGAACUCUAAGAAUUUCAAUAGUAGAGUCCAUUGACACAACACAAUUCACACAAUUUUCAAACAAACAACUUCUGAAUUUUAAAACUAACCUAUGUGGCUAAAAGUGGUUAGAAGUAUAAAAUUUGGCUAUGACCCUGCAAAGCCAAGAACCUAAGAUUUACUAAGAAGAUCAGACCAUAUGUGGGUUACCUAUGUAUUACGCCCCGAAAGAUGAGAAUCAGAUUUGCAUAGUUCAAGCAAAUUGGAUACAGGCAAGAAAUAAAAAAAAACUAAUUUUUAAAGAAAAUAUUUUCUUUUAUCUCUUUUUUUUUUUAAAAAUGUUGAAAUAUGUAAACUCUUUUGGAUUUUUUUUCUUUUUAUUCGAUUUUCAGGAAAUGAUGAAAAAUAGUAAAUAUAUUUUUUUGAAUUUUCACAUAUCUUUUGUCUCGUUUUGUGAUAAAAAUAUAACAAAAGCAUAACUAGACCCUACUUGCUUUAUUUUCACACUUCACCCUCUUUUCUUUUCAUUGUUUUUCUUUUUUUUUUCUCAUUUUUUCAUUUACCCUUAGUUUUUAUUGGUCCGCCAAAUAACCCUUUCAUCAUUUAAAAAAUGCAACAUGUGGCAUAUGAAAUGCAUCAUGAUGGUCUUUUAAAUUGGGUACACCUGUCCUAGACAGGCCCUGUCUUGUGUUGAGUCUCCUAAGUCAAAUACAUGAUGCAAAUAAGUGUUCCUACUAUGGAUUAGGCAUGAGGUCAAGUUAUUCUAAAUUCAAAAACCUGAGUAUGUGUUUUAGACAGUGUACCCGAGCGGACAACUCGAGUCGAGGAGGGGGCUACGUACCAAAAACCAAAAGGCCAUCCGGCUUAGUAAAUUGUCCGGCCUCUUUCAUAUUUCAUGGUAUGACACUAACAUAAUAGGGAGUCUCAACUAGUAAGUACACCUCGGCAAGGAAUUCUGUUAUGAACCUACGUGCAUUUUUGAAUCUUUUAACCACCUUUAUUAUUUUUCUUAAAGAGAAUUGCAACGUCGUUAAAACAUAUAUCGAACCACGUCACAUAUAUGCACCCGUGGUUUUUGACACAUUUCAGCUUCGCUGAAAUUUGGAUUUGGGUCACAUAAAUGUGCACCAAAAUUUAUAAAAAUUAAUAUAAAGUACGCAUCUAAUGCAAUUACGUGUUUAUUUAUUUUCCUAAUCUUUAAUGAAUUGGAUUUGGGUCACAUAAAUGUGCACCCGAAUUUAAAAAAAUUAAUUUAAAGUACGCGUCUGAAGCAAUUACGUCUUUAUUUAUUUUCCUAAUCUUUAAUAUUGUUGUAAAGAUUUAAGAGUUAUAAAAACUAUUGUAGACAGAAAUAUGAUUCGAUCCUUUGGGAAGUAUUCAUCACAAGAAUGGAGAAGAAUAUGUUGGACUCAUAGGUGUUACUAAUCCUGGCUCAGAUCUUUAUAAAUUCAAACUAACCUCACAUGCUAAACCAUUUUUCACUAUGCUCACGCCUAUUUUUAGACUCUAUCAGUAGAUACAAUUCCAGUUCUCCUCAACAAAAUUCAAAUUGCUUUAAUUUUAGACCCAACAGAUCGAUUCUCUACCUCAAAAUGAAAUGGCUAGUAUAUUUACCAGCCACAAAUCCAUUAACAGUGCAUUAGCUAUUUAACACAAUCCAAAAAUCAAGACUUUGAUUCUAGCUACACCCAAAACCUAUUGUUGUCCAAGUUCUAAAAGAAUUAAAUUCACAAUAAAGUAAUUAAAUUAUUCACAUUAAAGAUCCAAUAACAGACCCAAAUAAACACAUGGAAAAGGUCAGAUGGCAAACGAAAAUUUAAACAAGAGAACACUAAGGAAUUCAAAUAGCAAAGGUAAGAAUAAACCUUAAUAUUCAGUAAAUAAAAUUCUUCAGCAGAUGAAAACACGAAGCUUCCGACAUCAACAAAAUAUAUGAAUUCCAAAGAUUACAACUCCAAUAAAUAGCUCUUCAGUAGAUGAAAGCACGAAGCUUCCUACAUCAACAAAAUAUAUGAAUUCCAAAGAUUACAACUCCGAUAAAUAGCUCCAACAAGAUCUGCGACAUGAACACUCGAAAUACGACCUCGACUCUCUUUGUGGUGAUUUAAGAUCUGAUUGGAGUUGGAUCUUGGACUGGUUUACAGCUGAGCUUGAGCUCUGUUUCGCCUGUUUCCAUGGAGUUUCAAGGCUAUUUUAUGGCUAAUUUUUCUGGGUUUUAGGUUGGAAAAUAGAGCUGGUUUUGAAUGAUUUUGGUCGAAUUAGAGGGUUGUUUUUGGUUGCGUUUUGGGGGUGUUCCAGGAAUGAUUUUUGAGUUGAUUUUGCAGUCGCUUCAAGCUAUAUCAUUGGGAGAAGACAAGGUGGUUUAUGGGGUUAAGUUUGGAGUGUUUAAUGCAGCUUUUUAUUUGUGUUUCAAUGAGCUCCCAUGGUGAAAACGGGAAGAAGAAAAACUGUCGAGAUGGUGAAGAAAACCAAUAGCUGCGUAGCUUUCUUCAAGCCUCCCUUUUCUGUGUAUAGGCGCGUGUUUAUCUCUUGUGUAUCUAUCCGUAUAUGUGUGUUAGGGUUUGUAGGUGAG